CUUUUUAUGUUAAGACUAGUAACAAGGAACCCUAACUUCUCUUACAAUGUAAAUAUACACAUCUACUCCGUAGUUAACACAUGAACAAAAUGUAAUAACCCUCAAGAAAAACCUACAACAACCACUGUUAACCUAAUAUAAGAACAUUUCCAGAAAGAUAUAAAAAAAAAGAAGGAACUCGGCAAAACAAGAUUCCGCCUGUUUACCAAAAACAUCGCCUCUUGCAUAAUAUAAGAGGUCCUGUCUGCCCAGUGACUUAGUUCAACGGCCACGGUAUCCUGACCGUGCGAAGGUAGCGUAAUCAUUUGUUUUUUAAUUAAAGACCUGUAUGAAAGACCACACGAGAAUCACACUGUCUCCUUUCUUCAAUCAGUGAAACUAAUCUCCUCGUGCAAAAGCGAGAAUAGCCUUAUAAGACGAAAAGACCCUGUGGAGCUUCAAACACCCAACACCUGUUGAAAUAACCCCUAUUUCUACCCACCUAUAACAGUCUGAUUGUGAGUUUUCGGUUGGGGUGACCAUGGGGAAAAAAUAAACCCCCAAGAUGAACCAGAAUUUUCUUUAAUUUAGAGCUACAACUCUACAUAUCAGAACACUGACAUUAAUUGACCCUUCUUGAUCAACGAACCAAGUUACCCCAGGGAUAACAGCGCAAUCUACUUUAAGAGCACGUAUCGACAAGUA
rnacentral:rRNA from 1 species